GAGCGCCGGAUGCGUUGAGAGGCGCACGUCCGGUGCGGGAGGCGGCUCGGGGAAACGGACUGGCUGCAAGGCCAGCACUGCGUCCCGAGUCGACCUCAC
rnacentral:ncRNA from 1 species